rnacentral:misc_RNA from 1 species
CGGGAUGAUUUAAAACAAAAAGAAAGUUCAUCCUUUGCCCUCUCCAAAUUACCCUUCAGACCCCUUCUAUAUAGUCCUUGAGCAAGCAUAUAUCUGGCCUUAUGAAAAUGUUUGAGAUCCCCUUCAACACAAAUUUCUAAAGCAGAAAUGCAAUCAUUGUAAAGCAUAUUCCACACUUCUUCCAUGUGAAUAGAUUCCUCAUGCUUUCUCUCCAGGGAAGCUUCUUGAGUGCUUCUGUCCUUCGCAUCAUCGGGUAAAUGCGGCAUUUCAGCUGCCAGUUUACCUAGGACAUUC